UUCACCAUUCUAAAAGAAUGGUACCUUCCAGUAAGCAGGUCUCUUCAGGCACUCCCAAAAGAAAAGAGAGAAUUCAAUUCAUUUUAGCCUCUGAGCGAGGAUACUCCAACAAGAAGAGCCUAACCAGGCCCUAGAGAUAACAGCCCAUACCCCUACAGAGCCAAAAUGAAAGGCCUUCAUCAUAGGCUAGCAUAGCAGACAAUAACGCGAAAUCCAGGAAGGGGAGGGGGAUAGCCCAUACCAUAGGGUAGCCCUACAGAGCCAAAAUGAAAAGCCUUCAUCAUAGGCUAGCAUAGCAGACAAUAACGCGAAAUCCAGGAAGGGGAGGGGGAAUGAAUGCAAAAUCUGAAGCAAACCGAAAAGCGAGUUCCCGUGGAGUGAGUCUAGUGCUUCCCUUUAACCUAGAAGCACUCAGUGAGCCUUCAACAAUGUCCUUCCUGGCCUGUUGUUUGAGUUGACCGAAGGCGGCGGGUGGAGAGAACCAAAGACGUUG
rnacentral:lncRNA from 1 species